UACAGAGGUCCCAAGCGUUGUUCGGAUUCACUGGGCGUAAAGGAUGGCGUGAGCGGACAUUUAAGUCAGAUGUGAAAUACCCGAGCUUAACUUGGGUGCUGCAUUUGAAACUGGGUGUCUAGAGUGCAGGAGAGGUAAGUGGAAUUCCUAGUGUAGCGGUGAAAUGCGUAGAGAUUAGGAAGAACACCAGUGGCGAAGGCGACUUACUAGACUGUAACUGACGCUGAGGCAUGAAAGCGUGGGGAGCAAACAGG
rnacentral:rRNA from 1 species